UACGGGGGGAGCAAGCGUUGUUCGGAUUUACUGGGCGUAAAGAGCUCGUAGGCGGUCUGUUGCGUCCGCUGUGAAAACUCGGGGCUUAACCCCGAGCCUGCAGUGGAUACGGGCAGACUAGAGGUAGGUAGGGGAGAAUGGAAUUCCCGGUGUAGCGGUGAAAUGCGCAGAUAUCGGGAGGAACACCAGUGGCGAAGGCGACUACCUGGCCUGUUCUUGACGCUGAGGCGCGAAAGCUAGGGGAGCAAACGGGG
rnacentral:rRNA from 1 species